rnacentral:rRNA from 1 species
GACAGAGGUGCCAAGCGUUAGGCGGAAUCACUGGGCUUAAAGCGUGUGUAGGCGGAAUUGUAAGUACCUUGUGAAAUCCCCCGGCUCAACCGGGGAACUGCCGCGGAUACUGGAGGUCUCGAGGGGGGUAGGGGCAUGCGGAACUGCGGGUGGAGCGGUGAAAUGCGUUGAUAUCCGCAGGAACUCCGGUGGCGAAGGCGGCGUGCUGGACCGUUUCUGACGCUGAGGAGCGAAAGCCAGGGGAGCGAACGGG